rnacentral:tRNA from 1 species
GGUUCGAACCCAGUAUCGCCCACCGGGAUCAAGGGCCGGACUGCCAACAGGCAGUCCGGCCCUUGGCGUUGGUAC